GACAGAGGAUGCAAGCGUUAUCCGGAAUGAUUGGGCGUAAAGGCGUCUGUAGGUGGCUUUUUUAAGUCCGCCGUCAAAUCCCAGGGCUCAACCCUGGACAGGCGGUGGAAACUACCAAGCUGGAGUACGGUAGGGCAGAGGGAAUUUCGGUGGAGCGGUGAAAUGCGUAGAGAUCGGAAAGAACACCAACGGCGAAAGCACUCUGCGUGGGCCGACACUGACACUGAGAGACGAAAGCUAGGGGAGCGAAUGGG
rnacentral:rRNA from 1 species